GUAAAAACCCGCACCGCACCAUUGCCAUCCCUAUGUCGACAUUUUUCAUUUUCUUCAUAGAUACAAGCAAUUUACGGCUGCUUUGAUGACCAGUCAGGUGUACAAAAGAACUACCUGAAUUAAGGAAACCAAGUCAGAGGCAGUCAAAAGCUGAGUCAUGGCUGAUUUUAUUUCGGGCAUUUACAACCAUCUCACAAUGCUAUGUGAUCAAACCAUUGGAAGAGUUCUUCAACUCUUCUUAUAUUGGAGCUGGUUGGUUAAUCUCAAGUAGUAAGAAGUAUUCGUACCUCGACCCUUCGAUUACCUAUAAUUUGUGGAAACUAAAUAGACUAAACCAUUUCUUUGCCAGAUUAAGCUCAAUAGGGCGCUGAUAUCACUGACUAAAGGUACGAAAUUCAGCUGAUUUGAGUAACCACAGUAAAGACUCAUCUGUACCCUUGUAUUCUAAUUCAUCAAUUUGGAGUGCUUCAUGAUAAUUUUCUUGUGCAAGAGCUAUUUGGAUUUUAUGAGACUGCAUGUUAAUGGGUAUUUUCUUUUCCUUAUUCCCUCUUUUUUCUCUAUACUCUUCAUUUUUUAUUGCCAUCACAUCUACCUGCAUCGUUAAGACUGCUAUAUUGCUACUGCUGAUCUCCAAUUGCUUGGUACUAUUAUACGAAACAUCUUUCUUAUUCGAUUCUGCAUUUCUUUAUUUUAUGGCUAUUAUUUUAGCAUGUUCCUUCUUUGUUGCUUUGUUGGUAUCUACAACUUGCAUAGCUCUAUUUAAUGAAAUUGUAUCACAUUUUCUACUUUCUUUACUCCUAUUAUUACUGCCAGUUUCAGACAGACAACACUAUUGACAGUGGAACAAGCAAAUCUAUACUGUAUCCCUAACAGGAAAGGAGAGUAUCGAUCACAAAAGAGAAAGAGUAGAAAAGAGAAAAGGAAAAAUAUCCCUAACAAGAAAGAAGAGUACCAAUCACAAAAAGGAAGAGUAAGGGGAAAAACGAAAGUUCCCUCGCUUUGGAAAGAGUAGAAAGUUAAAUCAAUAUCAGUUACAUACCACCGAUGAUCCAGGAAGGAAAACUGGUUGCGAAUCAAUAUCAGUUACAAAUUACUUCUUUUAAAUUUGAAUACAAGUGAAAAUAUUAGUCGAGAAAGAUUUUGUAUCAGUUGGAUUGCAUUGAUCAUAUUUCUGUAAUAGUCCACCCCCAAAAGGUUGACAUUUUCCCAAUGCGUCAAAUGUUUACCCUCACAAUGAACUAGGAUGCGGUCUUUCUCAACCGGAGUUCUCUUUUAACCGUUACUAUUAAUUCAAAGGCUUGUUUAGCUAA